rnacentral:rRNA from 1 species
UGGGGAAUUUUGGACAAUGGGCGAAAGCCUGAUCCAGCAAUGCCGCGUGUGUGAAGAAGGCCUUCGGGUUGUAAAGCACUUUUGUCCGGAAAGAAAUCCUUGGCUCUAAUACAGUCGGGGGAUGACGGUACCGGAAGAAUAAGCACCGGCUAACUACGUGCCAGCAGCCGCGGUAAUACGUAGGGUGCAAGCGUUAAUCGGAAUUACUGGGCGUAAAGCGUGCGCAGGCGGUUUGCUAAGACCGAUGUGAAAUCCCCGGGCUCAACCUGGGAACUGCAUUGGUGACUGGCAGGCUAGAGUAUGGCAGAGGGGGGUAGAAUUCCACGUGUAGCAGUGAAAUGCGUAGAGAUGUGGAGGAAUACCGAUGGCGAAGGCAGCCCCCUGGGCCAAUACUGACGCUCAUGCACGAAAGCGUGGGGAGCAAACAGGAUUAGAUACCCUGGUAGUCCACGCCCUAAACGAUGUCAACUAGUUGUUGGGGACUUCAUUUUCCUUAGUAACGUAGCUAACGCGUGAAGUUGACCGCCUGGGGAGUACGGUCGCAAGAUUAAAACUCAAAUGAAUUGACGGGGU